rfam:Anaerolineaceae bacterium 4572_78 ex4572_78_scaffold_6165, whole genome shotgun sequence.
GUCAACAACCCCACACUAGAAGUGGGGGGCUUGCAGGAGCAAUCCUACAGGCUCCAAGUUGACCAAACUCAGCAUUUUUUAAGUGCUACGUUACCGUAGAAAGCUACAACAGGUACGGCAGGGUGCUUCUCCAGCCUUGCCCACUACGGUCAGUGAUUAAACAGGUUUAAAGGGGUUAAGCCCAGUGUUGCUGACAUUCAAACCUACGGACUAACAUUGUCGAGGAGACAUUUAC